rnacentral:rRNA from 1 species
AGCAGCCGCGGUAAUUCCAGCUCCAAUAGCGUAUAUUAAAGUUGUUGCAGUUAAAAAGCUCGUAGUUGAAUUUCGGGGUUAGUAGGUUGGUCAUGCCUCUGGUAUGUACUGGUCUCACUGAUUCCUCCUUCCUGAUGAACCGUAAUGCCAUUAAUUUGGUGUUGCGGGGAAUUUGGAUUGUUACUUUGAAAAAUUAGAGUGUUUAAAGCAGGCUCGCGCUUGAAUACAUUAGCAUGGAAUAAUGAAAUAGGACGUUUGAUUCUAUUUUGUUGGUUUCUAGGAUCGACGUAAUGAUUAAUAGGGAUAGUUGGGGGCAUUAGUAUUCAAUUGUCAGAGGUGAAAUUCUUGGAUUUAUUGAAGACUAACUACUGCGAAAGCAUUUGCCAAGGAUGUUUUCAUUAAUCAAGAACGAGAGUUAGGGGAUCGAAGACGAUCAGAUACCGUCGUAGU